GGCCGGUUAGCUCAGUCAGUAGAGCAUAGCGCUAACAACGCUAAGGUCACGGGUUUGAUUCCUGUUCGGUCC
rnacentral:tRNA from 1 species